rnacentral:lncRNA from 1 species
AUGUUGUGCAAAACAGCUUGGGACCACGGACUGAUGAUGUCAUUCCUUCCUUAUAUGGCUCAUUAUUGUGCAGAUUUACUUUGGUCUGUGAGAAGGGGUGGAGCUGGGCUGGACUGGGAGGGGAGGCAGCUCUCCAGGAGCAGAGCCAGUGAGCGGGAAUUAUGCUCCACACUGAGGGAAAAGCACUGGGGAGGGGGGCCAACUUGGGGAGGAAGAAUGAGCGCCCGCCAGAAUUUACCAGAGCCUCCUGACGAUUCAACCAACCGGACAGAAUACUUGUUUCCACCCAAGUGCCUGCUAGUUUACUAUCCCUGAAUGAAAACACAUCGAUGUGGGCUACAGAAGGCCAAGACCUCUUUAGUUUAAAGAUCAUCGAAUGCUUUUUACCUGAAUGUUCCCCCUAAAAGUGACUGUAAAUGCAAAAUGACUGUCCAGAUAAACAAAAGCGGGUGAAUACAUUCAGCCAGAUUUUGGAGCUUCCGUGUCAUAAUUCAUACAAAAUGUCUCCCAAAUCUUCCAGCUUCUUCAAACUAGUUUCCUGUCUUCUCCUUUUUCCUCUUCUUCCUUCCUUUCUUUUUUCCUUUUCUUCGCUCCUUCCUUCAUGACUUCCAGCAUGCUAAAUACAGUCCAAAAGUCAUUAGGUAACUUGAAAGUUCCAGUGUAAUUUUUUCCAGCCCAUAUGCAUAGAAUAUCUGACACUUAUGUUGUAAAAUUCCGCUUUAAUUUAAAAAUUUAAAAUAUAAUGGCAGAUAAGUUAAGUCAGCUUUAAGAUUAGAAUUAAAUAUUUGCAGAGCAUUUUUAAGCCCUCAGACAUAUUUUAUGUUACAUAAAUAUAAGCCAUUUUAUUAUGGCAUAAAAAGAACAUGAUGAAAAAACAUAAGUUGGAGAUGACUAGUUGCUUACAUCCCCAGCGUUCAAGCAUGUGUGGAGCCUUAAGAAUACGUCUAACUUCUUAAUAACAACUGAGUAACAGAUGAAUAAGACAUGUUUCUCAAAGCAGGUGUCUGAGGGCUGAGGCCUGCUCUCAAGAAACCUACCUGAACACAAUGGCAUCAGAGGCUGGAGGAUGAGAAGGAGCCAUCAUACAAAGCACAGAAGCUGAGACACCAGACAGGGUGCAGCAAGUGCAAAGGUCCUGAGGUAGGCAAGAGUGCGGGAGGUUUGAGACACCAAAAGAAAACCUGUAUAUGAUCAGAGUGUGGAGGGAAAAGUGAGACCUGAGGUCCACUGAAUGACCAACAAGGGUAGUUAGUUAACAUGCAACAAAUCUUUAUCAGGAAUAUGGGCUUCAGAGGCAGAUACAAGGGUUUCAAUGUGCUCUAGAGGGUUUUCUGACAUAGGAAAUGUU